AUAUUUUAAAUUUAGCCAUGGUUGAUCAAGUGAGUUUUCUUUUGAUGAGUUUUGAUGUUUCGGUUUUGGAGUUUAAAACAGUGAUAUCGUGUUGCUCUUCAUCCACACGGCUAUACCUCUAUUUGGUCUUCCACUUGUGUUUUGAAAUGGGCUAAGAGCUUAAGGUAAUGAUGAAAAGGCUGGGGAGCAAGGCAUUACUGUAGAGGGAGAGGCAGAAGCUUAAGAUCUUCCCUAACUAGAACAGUUAUGUUUAUGGAUGAUGGGUUAUGUUUUUAUGAACGUAUGGACUCUAAGAGUCUUUUAUUGAUGAAUGUUCGAAUAGAAUGUCCAUCAAGUGUUCCAUUUAUUAAAUUAGAAAUUUAGAGU